rnacentral:rRNA from 1 species
GACGAACCGAGCGAACGUUAUUCGGAAUCACUGGGCUUAAAGGGUGCGUAGGCGGGCACGCGAGUCAGGGGUGAAAUCCCACGGCCCAACCGUGGAAGUGCCUCUGAUACCGCGAGUCUCGAGGGGGAUAGGGGCGUGCGGAACUUCCGGUGGAGCGGCGAAAUGCGUAGAUAUCGGAAGGAACACCAGUGGCGAAGGCGGCGACCUGGUCCGACACUGACGCUGAGGCGCGAAAGCGUGGGGAGCAAACAGG